ensembl:lincRNA Meg3 maternally expressed 3
UCCUUCCUCGCCACUCCAGUGUCUGUCUUUCCUUCACAGCCCCGGCUUCUCGAGGCCUGUCUACACUCGCUGCUUUCCUUCCUCACCUCCAAUUUCCCCUCCAACCCACUGCUUCCUGACUCGCUCUUCUCCAUCGAACGGCUCUCGCUCAGGCCUGUCGCGUCUUCCUGUGCCAUUUGCUGUUGUGCUCAGGUUCCACGAGCUGCCCAUCUCCACAGAAGAGCAGCUGGCAUUGCCCACCGGCCAUGCCGGCUGAAGAAAAGAAGACUGAGGACCCCAGGAUGCCCAGCGCGAGGACCCCAGGAAGCCCAGCGCGAGGACUCCACCCACGACGCCCAGCGCGAGGACUUCACGCACAACACGUUGCAACCCUCCUGGAUUAGGCCAAAGCCAUCAUCUGGAAUCCUGCGUGGGACCCUGGACACACGGACACAGACACCUGCCCCCAGGACCCUCCAACUGUAAAUCCCUCUACAGCCACGGGGACGCCUUGCACAUUUCCUGUGGGACAUGCUGGACCCAAGACUCUGGACCCUGGCCUCCCCUUGAGUAGAGAGACCCACCUACUGACUGAUGAACUGCGCUGACCCUGGGGUCAGGCAUGUGGCCUUGAUCCCUACCCAUGGACCCUGAGACUUGGGGGGGUGGGAGAAAGGCUGUUGUGUCUUCACUGUUGAGUCUACAUCUGUGAAAUGGGCUCAGGUUCCUACCUCACAGGGCUGUUGUGAGGCAGCCGCAAUGUGCUUAGAAGCAUGGGGCCUAGUGGCUCAUGGUGCUUUCAAUAAAUUUCUUGUUUU